rnacentral:lncRNA from 1 species
CGAUUUUGUGUUGGUGUUUCGGUGGUGCUGAGAUUCUAAGGAAGUUGAGAUUAUGUGGUUAGUGGGGGGUUGAUAUUUGGUAUUUAUCUUAUUUUAUUUUAUUUUCUCUCCCCAAAAAUCCCUUAUUUCUUCCCGACGUUCUUUUUCUUCCAAACCAAAAAAAUCCCCAAUUUUGUUUUUUUUAUUUUCUUUACUCUUUGAUGGAAAGUUAAACUCAUUUCUUACGUUCUUUGUCUCUGCCUCUAAUCCUUGCUUUUGUGCGUUUCGAAC